rnacentral:rRNA from 1 species
GGGUCAGUAGGUUGGUCGUGCCACCGGUACGUACUGGUCUCACUGAUUCCUCCUUCCUGAAGAACCGUAAUGCCAUUAAUUUGGUGUUGCGGGGAAACAGGACUGUUACUUUGAAAAAAUUAGAGUGUUUAAAGCAAGCUAACGCUAGAAUACAUUAGCAUGGAAUAAUGAAAUAGGACGUUCGAUCGUAUUUUGUUGGUUUCUAGGAUUGACGUA